AUUGAACGCUGGCGGCAUGCCUUACACAUGCAAGUCGAACGGCAGCACGGAGCUUGCUCUGGUGGCGAGUGGCGAACGGGUGAGUAAUAUAUCGGAACGUACCCAAGAGUGGGGGAUAACGUAGCGAAAGUUACGCUAAUACCGCAUACGAUCUAAGGAUGAAAGCAGGGGACCUUCGGGCCUUGUGCUCCUGGAGCGGCCGAUAUCUGAUUAGCUAGUUGGUGAGGUAAAGGCUCACCAAGGCAUCGAUCAGUAGCUGGUCUGAGAGGACGACCAGCCACACUGGAACUGAGACACGGUCCAGACUCCUACGGGAGGCAGCAGUGGGGAAUUUUGGACAAUGGGGGCAACCCUGAUCCAGCAAUGCCGCGUGAGUGAAGAAGG
rnacentral:rRNA from 1 species